rnacentral:rRNA from 1 species
ACGAGAAGCUUGCUUCUCUGAUGUUAGCGGCGGACGGGUGAGUAACACGUGGAUAACCUACCUAUAAGACUGGGAUAACUUCGGGAAACCGGAGCUAAUACCGGAUAAUAUUUUGAACCGCAUGGUUCAAAAGUGAAAGACGGUCUUGCUGUCACUUAUAGAUGGAUCCGCGCUGCAUUAGCUAGUUGGUAAGGUAACGGCUUACCAAGGCAACGAUGCAUAGCCGACCUGAGAGGGUGAUCGGCCACACUGGAACUGAGACACGGUCCAGACUCCUACGGGAGGCAGCAGUAGGGAAUCUUCCGCAAUGGGCGAAAGCCUGACGGAGCAACGCCGCGUGAGUGAUGAAGGUCUUCGGAUCGUAAAACUCUGUUAUUAGGGAAGAACAUAUGUGUAAGUAACUGUGCACAUCUUGACGGUACCUAAUCAGAAAGCCACGGCUAACUACGUGCCAGCAGCCGCGGUAAUACGUAGGUGGCAAGCGUUAUCCGGAAUUAUUGGGCGUAAAGCGCGCGUAGGCGGUUUUUUAAGUCUGAUGUGAAAGCCCACGGCUCAACCGUGGAGGGUCAUUGGAAACUGGAAAACUUGAGUGCAGAAGAGGAAAGUGGAAUUCCAUGUGUAGCGGUGAAAUGCGCAGAGAUAUGGAGGAACACCAGUGGCGAAGGCGACUUUCUGGUCUGUAACUGACGCUGAUGUGCGAAAGCGUGGGGAUCAAACAGGAUUAGAUACCCUGGUAGUCCACGCCGUAA